AGCCCUGAGAUGUUCAGCAUAUAAAAUUGCAAAUUUUAAAGAGUAGAUUAGUUUCUGCCGGGGCUU
rnacentral:tRNA from 2 species